AGGGAGAGUGUGAGAGGGAGUGCCCAGUGCUGUACCAUGCUGGUAGCCAGUAUGAAAUAGGGCUUGCUGGUAACCAGCGUUGUGCCCCACUGGUUGCUCAGAAAAAAAGUUGACUUUA
rnacentral:precursor_RNA from 8 species